rnacentral:rRNA from 1 species
CCAAUAGCGUAUAUUAAAGUUGCUGCAGUUAAAAAGCUCGUAGUUGAAUUUCGGGACUAAUAUGUCGGUCGUGCCUCGGUACGUACUGGUAUUUUUGGUUUCUCCCUUCUGACGAACCUUGAUGUCAUUAAUUUGGUGUCUUGGGAAAUCAGGACUGUUACUUUGAAAAAAUUAGAGUGUUUAAAGCAGGCUCACGCUUGAAUACAUUAGCAUGGAAUAAUGAAAUAGGACGUUUGAUUCUAUUUUGUUGGUUUCUAGGAUCGACGUAAUGAUUAAUAGGGAUAGUUGGGGGAAUUAGUAUUCAAUUGUCAGAGGUGAAAUUCUUGGAUUUAUUGAAGACUAACUACUGCGAAAGCAUUUGCCAAGGAUGUUUUCAUUAAUCAAGAACGAAAGUUAGGGGAUCGAAGACGAUCAGAUACCGUCGUAGUCUUAACCAUAAACUAUGCCGACUAGGGAUCGGAUGAUGUUAAUUUUUUAAUGACUCAUUCGGCGCCUUACG